AGUGAACGCUGGCGGUAGGCCUAACACAUGCAAGUCGAACGGCAGCACAGUAAGAGCUUGCUCUUACGGGUGGCGAGUGGCGGACGGGUGAGGAAUACAUCGGAAUCUACUUUUUCGUGGGGGAUAACGUAGGGAAACUUACGCUAAUACCGCAUACGACCUACGGGUGAAAGCAGGGGAUCUUCGGACCUUGCGCGAUUGAAUGAGCCGAUGUCGGAUUAGCUAGUUGGCGGGGUAAAGGCCCACCAAGGCGACGAUCCGUAGCUGGUCUGAGAGGAUGAUCAGCCACACUAGAACUGAGACACGGUCCAGACUCCUACGGGAGGCAGCAGUGGGGAAUAUUGGACAAUGGGCGCAAGCCUGAUCCAGCCAUACCGCGUGGGUGAAGAAGGCCUGCGGGUGGUAAAGCCCUUUUGUUGGGAGAGAAAAGCAGCAGGUUAAUACCCCGCUGUUCUGACGGUACCCAAAGAAUAAGCACCGGCUAACUUCGUG
rnacentral:rRNA from 1 species